GUGAAAAAGCUCUACAAGAAUCAAGUCUCAAAGCCUUCAAGAACAUCAAGAACUUCAAUCCCAAAAUCGGAGAACAUUCGAAGCAGAAUCAUCCAAACCAUUUGCCUAGAUCCUAAAGUUUGCGGGAAUCAAGCUCAAAGGUCCGAAAACAUCAACAAAUCACAAGUCAGUGAAGCUCUACAGAUUCAAGCCUCCAAAACCCCGAAGAACUUCCACCACAAACCUUCAAAUACAAAGAACAUUCGAAGCAGAAUCAUCCAAACUACCAGCCUAGAUCUCAAAGGUCACUGGAAUCAAGCCCAAAAGCCUCCAGAAACCUCAAACAACCACAAAUCAGUGAAGCUCCAUGGAUUCAAGCCUCUAAAGCUCCGGCGAACUUCCACCACAAAUCUUCGAAGACGAAGAACACACGAAGAACACAAAGAACGUGAAGAACAAAGGAUUUCUAACAAGCUCAUAACCAGAGAUUCAUUGUAAUUCUGUUCCAAAGAUCUUCGAUCCAUCCCUUAACCAAAUUGAAGGAUAUCCUGUGUUUAAAUCAAAAUCACAUCACUACAAAUCCAAUCAACAAAUCUUUGAAGGAGAUCGAAUUAGAGGAUUAAUAUUUUGUAAUCACAGAGAAUUGUACCACACAAUCAUCAAUACAAAUUCGCAUUUGUGAAACUAUUUUAUUUGUU